AUACGGAGGGUGCAAGCGUUGUUCGGAAUUAUUGGGCGUAAAGGGCGCGUAGGCGGUAAUGUAAGUCAGAUGUGAAAUACUCCGGCUCAACCAGAGAAUUGCAUCUGAAACUGCAUAACUAGAGUACAGAAGAGGGAAACGGAAUUCCCGGUGUAGAGGUGAAAUUCGUAGAUAUCGGGAGGAACACCAGUGGCGAAGGCGGUUUCCUGGUCUGAUACUGACGCUGAGGCGCGAAAGCGUGGGGAGCAAACAGGAUUAGAAACCCUGGUAGUCCACGCUGUAAACGGUGAACACUAGGUGUGGGAGGUGUAAUACCUUCCGUGCCGUAGCUAACGCGUUAAGUGUUCCGCCUGGGAAGUACGGCCGCAAGGUUGAA
rnacentral:rRNA from 1 species